rnacentral:misc_RNA from 1 species
GAACCUCUUCAAUUUCUUGUCUUUGAGACUGUGAUGACAGCAAAUUGAUGACAGCAUUUCAAGCCCAUGAACGGUAGCUUGGCUGAUCCUUUCAACAAUAAUGAGUCUACAUAUAUGCAUAAAUCCUCAAAUAAAAGCAUAGGUGAUUAUAACCAACAAGACUUUCAACGUACAGAGUUGUUCAAGACAUCACAAAACCAGCCACAGUUGCACAUAUUAGCCAUGGAGUUUGGAAUUCUCUAAAUUUUGAACUGUUACUAUUAUCAUUACAAUAGCAAAGGAACAGUAAAAAAGAAAGCGAGAAGGAUAGAAUUUUACAAAAACACAGCCUUUGCGAAAGCAUAAGGAGGAAGAAAAAAAGACUCGAUCUCAAGCCAGUCUGUUUCUUAUGGGUUCUGUAUCCAUUUUGAAAGGGAAAAUGCAAAUUCUAGAAAUUUGGAUAUCUAGUGAAGGUUCAUUGCAAUGGAGUUCACUUUCCAGUAUUCACCGUUCUUUCUUUUUUCCUCUCCAUAAACCCAUUCGUCUUCCUCUCUUGUUUGUUCAGUUCCUCCGCCAUCCAAGCUCAAUAUCAUCACCCUUCUCCAGUUUCGCCACAUUCUUACCAUUAUGUAAAGCAUCGUCAAGCAAAUUACUGUGGAAGUACAGACAAUGGCCACUACAAUACACACAACUGCAGCGUUGGAAAGGCUUUUUUUCUCUCGACCCCGUGAUCCCAAGCACGAUAGUAAUGGUGGGCCGCAUAGCUUGUUGUUACCUACGAAGGAACUAAGUGGAAACCCGGAAAAGGUGGAAGGAAGUUGGCCCUGGAGAUCAUUAUUUGACAGGUUUAGCAUGUGGAGGCUGGUCAACUUUGCAAGUGAAAAAGGUACUUCUCCUUGGAGGUAGUUGAACGAGAGGUUCAAAGUCUCUAACUUCACAAGAUUUCCUAGAGAAGAUGGAAUCUCACCGGAGAGAGAGUUCUUACUGAGAUCCAACAUUACUUGCAACUCAGUCAGCCUUCCUAACUCAGGUGGUAUAGAACCCGUCAAGAAGUUCUCAGACAGCCUCAGUUCAUAGAGCUUUUUGCACUCCUGAAUUUUCGAAGGAAUGAAGCCAGAAAGGUUAUUUCUUUGCAGAUUUAGGACAUUGAGAGAAGUUAGAUUUCCUAUCUCUUGUGGGAUCUUGCUGGAGAGGUUGUUGCUAUGAAGAGAAAGCUUGAGUAAUCUUAAGCAAUUCCCAAGCUGAGCAGGUAUUUCUCCAUGAAAGUUAUUGGAUGAGAAAUCUAGCUCCCCAAGUUCUUCUAACCUCCCUAACCAGGAAGGCAUGAUGCCCGUAAGAUUGUUAUUACUAAGUAGCAAGUGUUCGAGUUUUCUACAGUUUGAAAGUUGGGGUGACACGUCUCCAGUGAGAUUGUUGAAUGAUAAAUCAAGGAAUCUAAGCUCAAUGAGCUCAACAAACUCAUGAGGAAUAUUGCCAAUAAGAUGAUUGUGCGCAAGGCGGAGACGACUAAGAUUUCUUGACAUGGCUAGUCUAGAAGGAACAGGACCAGAGAAACUGUUGUUGGUCAAGUCUAAGGCAGUCAGAGAAUUUGAACCCAAGAGAGGAUAAAUGCUUCCGCGAAACCUGUUGUGAGAAAAAUUAAUAAUUUGCAGGUUUUUUAGAAGGAAGAGAGAUGAAGGAAGAGGACCUUCAAAGGAGUUGUUGUAAAGAGUAACUUUAUAAAGUUCUGAAAGGAAUCUGAAAGUUGGUGGCAAUGUUCCAGAGAGCUUGUUAUCUGCUAAGGCCAAUAUCUGAAGCUUUCUGCAGUAGCCCAAGCUUGGUGGGAUUGGACCUGAUAAAUCAUUCUGCCUCAGUUGAAGGACGAUCAGAUUCUUAAGCUUCCCAAUGGUUGGGGGAAUGGAUCCUGUGAAGUGGUUUCCAAAGAGAUCAAUUUCUGUUAUGCUGGUGCAGUUUGUCAACUCUAUUGGUAUUCCUCCUGACAGCUGGUUAUCGUAAAGAUAGAUAAUACUCAACCUCUUUAACUUGCCAAUUUCUGGUGGAAGUUUUCCCGUGAUCACAUUGUCAAACAGGUAAAAAUUCACCAAGUUACUCAUGUUCCCGAUCGCAGAAGGCAGCUUUCCACUAAAACUGUUAGUAUUGAGUUUAAGAUCUGUGAGGUUUUUUAGUUUGUCGAUGCCGUAUGGCAGCUCUCCUUCAAAGUUAUUAUUAGAGACGUCCAGUUGUUGCAAAGAGGGGCAGUUCAAUAGCUCUAAGGGGAACUUGCCUGUCAGAUUGUUUUGAUGCAGGAAAAGUUGCUGCAGAUUUGAAUUCUGGAGACAGAAAUUGCUUGGAAUGCUGCCUGUCAGGUCAUUGUUAGACAAGACCAAAGUUUCAAGAUUCUUUAAUUGGGAACUGAAUAGGCUUACGGGUCCUGAGAGAGUAUUCAUUGAUAAGUCUAGCUUUUCAAGUUGAACCAAGUGGUUGAGCUCCAAAGGAAUUUGGCCACUCAAUCUAUUUCCUAGCAGAUUCAAGUACUUCAAGUUGGAGAGAUGACUUAACUGGACAGGGAUUGAGCCAGAAAGGCUGUUAUUUGCCAAAUUCAAUACUUGCAGUAAUUUGAGACUUCCCAUUGAAGCAGGGAUUUCCCCUUCAAGCCUGUUGUCUGAUGCUGCAAAAUUUUGGAGCUCUUUACAGCCACGAAGCUCUUCUGGAAUCAGGCCACUGAGAUUGUUCUUCUGCAAGUCAAGAGAUACCAGAUGCUUCAAAUUACCAAUCUCAACCGGAAUGCUUCCAUUAAAUUGGCAAGAAGCAAGACCCAAAACUGUUAACUCAGUCAAGUUGCCAAUACUUGGUGUAAUUUCACCCGAGAACUGGUUAUCUCCUAUUCUAAGAACUUGUAAUUUCUUCAAAGAGUAUAUGUCUUCAGGAAUCUUACCAGAGAUAAAAUUUGAAUAAAGAAGCAGUAUUCUCAAAUCCUGAAGCAUUCCAAGCUCGGAAGGAACCGAGCCAGCGAGGAAAUUUGAAGAUAAAUCAAGUGUUUCAAGCGAAGCAAGAUGCCAGAGCUCGGGCGAAAUGGAACCUGAUAGUCCUGAGCUGGAUAAAUUCAAGCCCGAAACGUGAGUUUGAUCAUGUGAACAUGUAAUUCCAUUCCAGCUACACAUAUGUGCUCCUGGAGACCAGCUAUCAAGAACUCGUAGAGGAUCAACCAGUUCUGAUUUUAUCCUCAGAAGCCAAUAGGAGUCUGUUGAAUUAUCUCCACCAAGACCAUGAACAGCAGCAAGAACAGCAAAAGCUAUGGCUGAAAACAGCAUUAACUGAGAAACACGACUGCUACCCAUUUCAAGUUUCAUCACAAUGAUGGGAGUAUCAGAUACUUGUUUUGAAAUAUUCGUUAUUGCUUCCUGGGAAGCUCAGUUCCAUAUCGAAAGAGAAAGGUAAGAAGAAACAAGCAAGAGAAGCUCAAUUUGAACACAUUCAGAAAGACGAGAAAGAGGAGAUGAAAUGAGAAAUUAAAGGAGGGAAUUUGAAUGAGAGAGAAUAAAAAGGUUCAAACUGCUGGGAUGAUGAAAGCUUUGAAGUUUAUAUAGUGGGUUGAAGAAACGUACCUAAUCAUCAUUUGCAUAGAAAGAGAACAAUAAUGCAUUAACACUUAACAGCGUAAUUAAGCCUUUGACUCACGGCAGUCUCUUUUCACAUAUUUUCUAAGUUUUGCUUACAGG